rnacentral:tRNA from 3 species
AUUUAUAUAGUAUAAAAGUAUAUAUGACUUCCAAUCAUAAGGUUUAUUAACAUAAUAAUAUAAAUA